ACUAAAUUACGAAGAAAAGACACAUUAUUUUGUCAUUGUUCAAGCAAAUGACUGAGGACAGAAUCUUAAUGAGCGAAGGACAAGUACAACCAGCCUGACAGUAGAUGUGCUCGAUGGGGACGAUGUGGGACCAAUGUUUCUUCCCUGUGUCUUGGUGAAUAAUACUUGUGACUGUAGACCUCUCACCUACCAAGCGAGCUUGCCAGAACUGACUGAUCCUGCCACCCAAGACGGUCUUGAAUCGCUCCACUCCAUCCAUUUCUGCUCUUCCAGUAAAAGGCUCCAGCACCUGCUCACAGCUGCAAUGAGAGAGGAUCAGCAGCUACCCCACAAGCCAGGACAGGAGUGUGCAAGUGCAGACCCGUUGUAAAACAAAGAGUGGGACUCAGAAGAAAGACUCCACUGAGAGGCCACUAACAGUCAAAAGCUCAAGAGCAGCAAAAGGCAGG